rnacentral:rRNA from 1 species
GACGAACGCUGGCGGCGUGCUUAACACAUGCCAGUCGAACGGAAAGGCCCUGCUUUUGUGGGGUGCUCGAGUGGCGAACGGGUGAGUAACACGUGAGUAACCUGCCCUUGACUUUGGGAUAACUUCAGGAAACUGGGGCUAAUACCGGAUAGGAGCUCCUGCUGCAUGGUGGGGGUUGGAAAGUUUCGGCGGUUGGGGAUGGACUCGCGGCUUAUCAGCUUGUUGGUGGGGUAGUGGCUUACCAAGGCUUUGACGGGUAGCCGGCCUGAGAGGGUGACCGGCCACAUUGGGACUGAGAGACGGCCCAGACUCCUACGGGAGGCAGCAGUGGGGAAUAUUGCACAAGGGGCGGAAGCCGGAUGCAGAAACGCCGCGUGCGGGAUGACGGCCUUCGGGUGGUAAACCGCUUUCGCCUGUGACAAAGCGUGAGUGACGGUAAUGGGUAAAGAAGCACCGGCUAACUACGU